CAACCAGUGAAGCCCUGGGCCACCGAAGUGGAGCGUGCGAACUUAACCACUUGGCCACAGGGCCGGCCCCUCCAUGAGCUUUCUUAGUACUUAUCCGUCUGUUUUUCUAGGCUUCUCAGAGCUGAAAUCAGAAUGUUUAGAGGCUGCAGUACCCUUCUUUUGGCCUCAUUUUUUUUUCAAUGGGGGAAACUAUGUAAAUCUAGAUAUACAUCUGGCUUUUAAAGGGAUUGCAGAUGGUACAGAGAAUUUUUACUAUUGUCAAAUAUAUAUAUUUUUAAUUUUCUUGCCUGAUAACUCUUUACUUUUUUCUAAAAGAAUAUUUAAAAUUUUUAUUUUCUAUCCAAAGGACAGUGUGGAAUGAAUAUCUUCAAGACACUGUCAAAGACAGCAAUACAACAAUAGGUAGUUUCCUAUGAAAACAACUUUUUCCCCCAGACUCGGACAUGAAGAGUUGAGUUAAUGGACGCUGGCAUCCUAUCUCUUGACAACUCAGGCAUCUAGUUAUCUGCUGUCUUGUUAUCAUGGUUGUAUGACUUGAGUAGUUUCCUGCCUCUCCAUCAGUGAAUAAUGGAAGAAAUAAGCUUGCUUAGCAGCCAUUCAUUUCUGCUACAUAACAUCCAACCAUGUCUAUUUAAGGCUCAAAACUGAAACAAAGAUUGGGCCUAUUAACCCGACCAUGUAAGAAAGGCUUAAUUUUAAGAGAGACUUCGACCAACAGGAAGCUCCAAUAGGAAGUGGAGAGAAAGUUAAGCAGUAGCAUAUCAUAUGUUUGGAAAUCUUCUCCUGUUUCUUCAGAGACUGCCUGCUCCUUUUGUAUCUUAAUGUUGUGGAACGUGCAUUAAGAAUAAUAAGCCAGGCUUAACCCAUGACUAGCUGUGUAAAUUGGAACAAAUCGCUUAAGCUCUUGAGACCCUUUCCUCAUCUGCCUUCUCCAUCUGGAAGAAUGAUCAUGAAGACCAAACUAAAAAUAUUUCUUAAGUUGUAAAAAAUUAUAUAUAAACCCUUAAAAACCUAGAUCAAUCUUUACCCAUCAAAUAAUUGGUUGUAAAUAAGGUUUCAGAUAAUUUGUUAAUUUGAAUUUUCGUCAAUUAUAACAGAAUAUUUCAUUAUGGUA